CCUAGUCACUUCUACUGAAAAAUAAAUAUAAUGUUUAAUGUGGAACUUUAUUAAACUCCUGACCAUACAGUGAAUGACUGAAGAUUCCAUGCUUUAUAUGACCCUAACAUGCUCAUACAGUUAUCCCAGAUAGGUAUAUGGCACUGUCAUGACAGACAGUCAAGAUGGGAAAUCAGGAAAUUUAUUAAGAAUAUGAGGUGUCAGGUGGGGGUUUCCUAGGAAGAUCGUGACUGGGAGAUAUAAGACAGACAUUGACCAUCAUGUUUCUCUUUUGCCACCACAGGUGGGCAAGAACCAGACCAGCUGAAGUGUCAGUGUUUUAUGUUGGACAGAAAGCGGACACAGAGUUGUAGCUUAUCUUUUCCCAGAAGUAAUGACCCAGAGAGAUUCAUAGUAUAGUGUGGUCUGAAGUCAGAGGAUGCAAAAUAGGGCUCUUCAAGGUAGUACUUUUCCAGCCCUAAGAGCUGCUAAGUGACCAAGCCUUUCUAGAAUUUCUUUAGUCUUGUUAUAGGAUGACAUCACAGUUAGGUAUUUUAUGUCAUAAUAUAUAUAUUAGUUUUUCUGCUACUCCCAACUAGGAGAAAGCAGGUUGGUUUUGUGGGAUCUUGCAGGAACAAAAUGACAAACUAUGCUACCAGUUCUUGGAACUCUCUAACCCAUGGGCCCCAUGCAGAAAUUCUCUAUGUCUGUGCCUCUUAGGGAAUUAAAUAAUUCUCUUUUUGCUUCUAGUGUAGUCUCAUGAUUUUAUUUAAGAAACUUGAGAAAGAUUACAGCCUUUGAACUAUUUGUCCAUCCACUCAGUUAUCUGCCCACCCAGGAGCUUCCACGAUCAAGUCAAAGUCACCAUGUGCCCACUGGGCUCCAGGGCAGAGCACACAUCCUCAGAUGAUUGUUGCACACAGAAAAUGAGGGAAUGCACCUAAGAUGAAUACUGGAGAGCUCCCAAGUGGCAGUCUCAUUUUCAUUCCUUCAUAAAAAUCAUAAAAAUUCACGAUAAUUCAUGGUUAGCGAUAAACACAAUCAUUGUGCUACACUGUAAACCACACCUUCUGAUCGACAGAAAAUGAGAAUGACAAUAAUUAUUAUAAAAUAAAAUAACAAUGAUAAUAAUGCCAUAACUUAAGAUCUUUCAUGUAGUCCAGCUACAGAAUGUAUACAAAAUGGAAUAAUUUAAUGCAAACAAUACUGUUCUCUGUAUAAGUUAGACAUUUUCCUUCAUCUUACUUAAGAGCUAUAAAUUAAAAGACAGUAAAUUUUAAAUUAAUACCUCAACAUAAAUUGUAAACAAAUGAGGGAUCAGACAAGCAAAAGGAACUGCUCUCAAUUCCCUCCUGCCUUUCCUUUUUGGCUGAUGCAAUCGGUGAAACCCAGCGGAGGGCAACGUUUCCACCUGCACUGGAAUGGUUUAAUGCCAAUAUGUGUAAGUCUUUCCUAAUGUCCAACACGAUGCCGUGUCUAAGACUCUAGCCAUCGCCUUCAGAUUCUGAGCCUAGAGACUUUGUUUGACAGUAAUCUAUCUUGGAGACAGAGACAGGAACGAGGCCGAUAUCUGUUUUUAUAUAAAAUUCUACAUAAAAAUUGGCUUACAGCUGAGGUACCAUGAUGUACCUUGGCAUGCUUUUCAGAGCCCAUGACCCUGGAUAGGAAGGACCUCAUGCUUUGGAAAAGGCAAAAUCUUCCCAAUUGCUGCUCAGCAUCAGUUGUUCUUUGCACAAAUUCCCAAAUCCAAUGAUUUAAAAUUGCGUUGAUCCGAAGAAAAGUAAAAUACCUUUCACAAACAGCUUUGAACAAAAAUGCUAUUAUGCUGGGAUAUUGUGGUGGGGAGUGUCUUUUGCAACUUGCUUAUUUUGCCUUUAUUCUGAUAGUGGAAGCCAGUCACUAAAGCUUACAGGAUAGAAUGAGUUAAUAAGUAAAAACAAGGGAAUGGUUUGUGAUUGGACAUUGGACAGACUCACACACACCCUAGCUGCCUUCAAAGUCUGUUCUCCUGUUUGAAUCAAUAUGACUCUAGUAGACAAGCAACCUGGUUCCACAGAGGGCUAGCUCCACCUUCUGGACGAGCGGAACUGAGAGGUUCUGACAACGUACUUUUACAAAUUCCACGUUUGCUUUUCUAACACUGUGGUCAGUUUCCUUUUUCUCUUAUCCUUCUCUUCUUCUCAGCCCUCCCCUUUUUCCUAAAGGAAGUGGUCACCAGGUGGAAAGGAAAUGGCUAUGAGGAAAUGGCACGUUGGUCAAGGUCACACAUUUGUCAAGGUAAUGGCAAUGACAGCAUUUAAAAGGUAAAUAUUUGUCAAGGAAGAUUCGACUCUAUCCAUAAGUCUCACAACUAAAUGCUGCUUAAAAUAAAUAAAAAUGAAACCAGUUUUCACAUAUAGUUUUUUUUUUCCUCCUAGAGGAAGCACAUGCCCUCAAAGACCUUGGGUGCAAGUAUCUGGUUACCAAACUUUUCUAGAUAAUUUUCAUCACCCAAAGGAUAAGCUGGUUGAACUUAAAUGUGGUCUAUUCACAAGUUACCCGGAAUUGCUUUUCUUUUGCUGUCCUUUGUUUUCUAAAAUGCUCAACAUGUCUUGCUCUGGCUCUUCUUCAGUCACUUAUGGUCAAAAGAACUGGUCCCCUGUUCAAGUAGCAAUAAUAAUACCUCUUGGCCCCACAAAUUACCAAGAAUGUUGCUUCUAAAUUCCACUUCUUUCUUCCUCUCUUUUUUUUUGCAAGAAAUUAUUGUCUCUCUCUCUAUCAUAUAUAGUUCAAUCUUUACAGUACAAAGUGUUAAAAUGUCAAACAAAAAUAAAUAUCAAUGUUACAGUAGCUAGAAUAUUCAAUAAAAUAGAUCCCUGCCAUUCUUGAUUGAAA